rnacentral:rRNA from 1 species
UACAGAGGGUGCGAGCGUUAAUCGGAAUUACUGGGCGUAAAGCGCACGUAGGUGGCGACGUAAGUCGGGUGUGAAAUCCCCGGGCUCAACCUGGGAACUGCAUUUGUGACUGCACGGCUGGAGUGCGGCAGAGGGGGAUGGAAUUCCGCGUGUAGCAGUGAAAUGCGUAGAUAUGCGGAGGAACACCGAUGGCGAAGGCAAUCCCCUGGGCCUGCACUGACGCUCAUGCACGAAAGCGUGGGGAGCAAACAGG